CUUACGCAAAAAGUCGAUCGAUAAGAACGGCCGCCAUUAGUUCCUAAAAGAGUUCUGGAGCAUCUCAGUUGAUGAUGCGACCUUCAUAAACAUUUUUGUCUUCAAUCUCCCAUUCGGCCUUCCUCCUUCACGCCUCCGGCACUCCGUAUACAGUCGCACUCCAACGGCAGCAGCCCACCGGCACCAUAGAACGGCCGCCAAGCAGAUCUGAAACCAUAGAACGGCCGCAAGCCUCUGCCGACCAUUACCGCCGAAACCACCGCCGCGCCAAACCGCAAGCUUCCGCCGACUUCCAUUACCGCACGCCUCCACCCCUCCGCCGACCGCACACGCCACCGCAAGCCUCCGUCGCCCCCACCGCAAGCCUUCGCCGAUCCCACAAGCAGCUCCUUAGCUGCCGGAGAGUAUGUAGGAUUGAUGGUCAUUCCAAGUUAAAAGUGAAUGCUUUUGCAAGCAUGAAUACGACACCUUUUGUUUUGAGGUGGCCAGACAAGAGGGCCAAGGCAUUUUGAUUUCUUUAAGUUUUCUUCAUUCAAAGAUAACAGAGGAAACCCUUUGGAAUAAGAAAUUUGGGAUUAAGAAAGAACACAUAUUGCCAUGAUAUACUUUACAGUAGAUGUGUAAAAACUUGGAGGUAGAAGAUCUUGUAUCAGGUGCUCUAUAUAGCAGAUGGAGAUAACCGAGGGAUUAUAACUUGAUUGACCAUCUGUGGUUGAGGAGACACCCAUAUCUGAGAAAUCAAGAUUCGAUUUUCCAAUGGCUAAAUCCACCAAGGGCAUUGAGGGUUCACAAGACCUAGCUUCCUCAAUUGUGAACAAUCAUAAAUGUUCAGGAACUAGUAAGUUGAUUUGUUUGGAUUCUGACAAUGAGUCUGAGGAUGGUAGUGAGUUUUUUGCCCCAAAAAAGAAUGACAACAUUGGUUUCGCUGUUGAAAUGGAACGUGGAUCAAAAUUGAGCACUGGAUUUAUUCAGUCCACAUGUUUUCUUGGAACUCUUUGUUAAAUUAAAGUGUGUUGAAGACCUAGCUAGGGCCACCAUAAAGAAAUUGACUCAGGGAAUGGCUGAACAAAACAAAGAACUAGCUGCAGCUAAAAUUGAUGAAGAGAAAGCCAAGAUUUAGGAGAUAUCAGGGAUAUCAUGAAGACAAGGAGGAUCAUGAAGGGACAAGAACAAAAAUGAGAAGAUGAAUGAUGAUGAAUUAAAGUGGAGGACAAAAGCAAAGAAGAUUUGGUCCAUUUUCAUCAUUAAAGAUCAGGCAAUAAUGGAAUCAAAGAGUGAUAUUUUGAAUGGUGAUUGAUCAUAUGGAUAAACCAAAGCAAAAGUGGAACAAGUGUCUAAAAUCUGAUAUUUUCGCACAAAUUGUCCACUGUUUGGUAUUUUGACCAUAUCUCAGAGUAGGAAUAUCCAAAUUAAGUGAUCUUUGCACCGUUAAAAAGAAGACUUCAAGGGCUACAACUUUACCAUAAAUACAAAACUCAUAAUUCCGAACAGAAAAUGGAGAAAAACAGCCCGGAAGAUGAGGCUGCGUGCAGUGAUGUCAUUGCUUGCGAAAUUUUCCAUCUUCUUUCUCAUUAUGUUAUGUGAGGUCAUGGCAUAUGUAAUUCCCCAUUUCGAAAUUCAGAUGGAAUGUGAGGUCAUUGCAUAUGUAAUUGUCCAUCUUUGCUCCCUUUUGAUGCCUAUAUAAAGCCUUGUAACUCUCAAACUUGAAGAGACCAUUCCUCACCAAUUCCUUCUAUCUCCUCUCAUUCUAGCUUUCAUAUUUUAGUUUUAGUGUUGUGUUUUUCUUCAAGCAAGAGUGUAGGAGGAAACUCCAAGAGUUUGGUCUUCAAUCCAUAAGUUUUCUUGUUCCCUUUA